rnacentral:tRNA from 1 species
GAGGGUGUAGCUCUAGCAGUAGAGCACAUGCCUAGCAUGCAGAAGUUCCUGAGUUCAAUCCCAGCACCUCCA